GGCCCACUAGAAUGCGCUCCACGACGGCCCGUCCAGCCGUCAAGCCCCCCUCCCCCAAAUCUCACCGGAAUCCUCCGCCGCCGACGGCCACCGUCCACACCGCGGCCCGUAUACCGCCUGACUUCCGCGAGGCCGGCCUGUGGCGCCGGCGCUGGGAGGAGUGCAGGGGCAGCUCGAGAUCUGGCGAUGCAUCGGAGUAGGCGACCGAGCCGCCGACGGGGGCCAGGCGAGCGCUGUUCUUUGCCGUGGAGGAGCGACGCGUCGAGGGGAGGCUCCGGCGAUUAGCCACUACGAAGGGCAGCUCGGCAACUACGCAGGCAUUGCUAGUCCAAAGUUGAUUAUCAGUAUGUGUGCACAAUCCAUCAUCAGGUCAGGCAGGAGGUGAAAUCUUCACAAGAUAAUCUAGACCUAUAUGUUUUCUCAGCUUGUGGCAGUGUUGGGGAAAUGGUUUGGGUAUUGCCGCCUGGUACAACCUUUUCUUUUUCUUCUGUACUCCCCCCUUCCAAGUAUUUUCACUUUUGGCAACCUAAGAAAUAAACCACCGGGGAGAAAACUGGGAUUAAGCAAGUAGUGCUGGUCUGUGCGGUGCGCCGGUGCCUAAAUGCCCACUGGUUUCCUGAAAAUUGAGAGAAUAAAAAGGUCCAGUGCUUUGCGUCUGCUCUGAAUUACCCAUUAUAGUCUGUCUAACUCAGCAAGUCAGCAGGAUUCUCCUUUCGGAUAGUUUAUUAUCUGCAUAUUGCGUAUUGUUUUCUUGCUUGUGUGUAAACAUCUUCCCUUAUUAAUAUGAGGUUACAUCUUUUGCUUGAGUCA